GUCAGUAUUACAGACCCAAGAACGAGUUCUCAGUGGCUCUAAGUGACAGAAGGAAUGGACAAAUCCUUGAGUUUGCUCAUCCUUUGGUUACAACUGGACUGGGUGAGCAGUAAACAGGAGGUGAUGCAGAGUCCGGAAGCUCUGAAUGUCCAAGAGGGAGACAGCGUGGUUCUCAACUGCAGUUACACCGGUAGCACUUUUUAUUCCCUUCAGUGGUUUAGGCAGGACCCUGGCAAAGGACUCACAGUUCUGUUGUUGAUUCAGUCAGCUCAGAGAGAAGAAACAAGUGGAAGAAUUAAAGCCUCACUGGAUAAACCGUCAAAACACAGUGCUUUAUACAUUGCAGCUUCUCAGCCCAGUGACUCGGCCACCUACCUCUGUGCUAUAGAGGCACAGUGCACAACAGGCUCCUGGCACCAAUACCCAAACUCUGCAGCUGGGGCUCCACCCACGUGCCCUAUCUUGAAGCUGAGGAAUCUUUCUCCAUCGAGGGGCUUUCUAAAUUGACUCUUUUCCCAGAUAGAAGCAAUUAACUAUGCAAAACCUGAUCUAUAUAUGUACACACACAUAUGUAUGUGUAUAUAUGCACAUCUAUGCGUAUGUAUACAUAUAUAUGCACAUAUACGUAUCUGCACAUAUGUUUCUGAAGUUACAUUUGAUCUUUAGAUUUUUAUCAACUUCAACUUCAAUAAUAGCUUUGUUGAGAUUAAUUCACAGGCCAAACAAUUCAUUCUUUUAAAGUGAAUAAUUAAGUGGCAUCUAGUACAUCCACUAUGUUGUACAACCACCACCUCUAUCUAGUUUCAAAACCUUGUCAUCACCCGGAAAGGAAACCACAUACCCAUUAAGCAGUUGCUUACCAUUCUCCCCUCCCCCAAUCCCUGGUCACCUGCAGUCUGUCUCUAUGGGUUUAUUUAUUCUGUUCAUUUCGCAUUAAUGGAAUUGUACAGCC